AACAGCGUAAUAAUUUUUUAGAGUUCUAAUCGAAAAAAUUGAUUGCGACCUCGAUGUUG
rnacentral:tRNA from 1 species